rnacentral:tRNA from 1 species
GCCCUUGGCUCAAUGGUUGGAGCGUUUGACUUCUGAUCAACAGGUCUCGGAUUCGAGCCUCGAGUGGGGUA